rnacentral:lncRNA from 1 species
AUGCCCAGUCUAGGAGUGGAAUUCCUUCUCCUUGAUCAGUGGCCUGGUCUGAGAAGUUUGGUGAUGGCACCGAUUGGAGAGCACUGGAACUGCACCAAUGGGAGUGUUCCGAGAUUACCUCAACUAAUGAUCACCUCGUGCACGGGUGAGGUUGUAUCUUGGAGCUGAAUUCUUCAGAGACUGGCAUCUGGGCAGGAGCAUUUCUCCUGGUGGAACAGCUGACGUGUCUUGGACAUCAUGUUGGAUGUGAUGGACACAAUGCCAAAGAAGAGACAGUGCCAUUUGCACAUGAUAUGAGAAAAUCAAAAUUCGGGCUCAGCAUGUAUCUUCUGCAGAUCACCUGGGGCUUUAUCAGUUGAAUUAAAGUUUAUUCAUUUUGGUAUGAAAAUACGACAGUAGAUGAUAAUUGGAAGAGGAGACUGCAGAUGGCAAAGAACUAUUAAAAUCUGCAAAUCGUGCUCUGUGAGCCUGCUCUGAGUUCAAAUAUUUUACUGUAAAUUAAUUAUGGUCUUGCUGUCAAAGUGAGAAGAUGGGAGUAUUUAUGGAAGGGAAGCAAAGUGAUGUAAUCUAAAAAUAAAGUAGUUUAGGCUGAAUAAGAGAAAAAAAUGGGGACAAAAUCUUCCAGUAAUCUAGCUCUAGCUUCCUCAUCUUGAUGAUCAUUUGACUGAGUUUGUUCUCCACUGCUGCAAAAUAUUAUAAGAUCAAAAAGGCUGACCUAUAUGGAAAUUUCUGUUGGAAAAUGAGACGUGAUCACCCUGCUUUUCUGAUGCAAGUAAAGUUUAAUAAUAAUUCAAUCAAACAUAGAGAAAUAGAGUUGGAAAAAAAGCUCCAAACAACAAAACCACACCUCUUUGGGGAGAUCUUCCCCCUUUCCCAGCCUGUCUUUCAAAUAUGACAACGCUUUUUCUAUUUAGGCAGUGUUCUAUGCAAGUAGUGAGGCUAUUGGCCUAUGAGGGCAGGAGAAUCCUUAGGGAAGAGGCUACUGGAAUCUAUUAGUAUUCUCUCUAGAAGACUAUAAAUAGCCCCGCUCCCAUGGAAAUACACUGAAACAAACUCAAAUGAAAUAUCUACCACCUACUUCUAGGUUGAAGACACUGAAAGAAUUUAAAGAACUGCAGACACUGAAUGGAAGCCAAUCUUUCCUCUGUAACUGAGUUAACAGACCUUCACACAUAGUAAUUUGAUUUAAGUUUCAGUAAUAUAUGGAACAAAAGUGAUAAACAAUGAUUGUCUUUGAAGAACAACUGUCAGCAGUUGCAAGGCUCAGUGGGGUUAUAAAUAACCUCAGGUAUAUGCCCGCAUAAUUAAAAAUUAUUUUUAGAUUAAAAUAAUAAAUCCUAGGUGUCUCAUGAAGACAAAUUAAUAUUAAAGUAUUUCAUAGGCAUCCAUUAUUUGAAACAUAUUUUCUCUUAAUCUGCUGGGAAGGCACUCAGGUACGACAGUAUAUAAUUUUUGCUAACGAAAUAGAUUUAUCUUCUAGUAAUACUAAUUUCUUACAGUAUCUAUUUGUCAAGAUGGUCCUCGUAAUUACCAUUCCUUAUCACAAUGGAAAACAGAUCUUUCAAUUGGUAUCCUAAAAUAUCUUCGGCAUUAGCUGGGACAUGAGCUGGACGGUAAGUUACAUUUGAAUACAUAGGUUAGUACUUUGGUUUUAAGUCUCUUAAAUUCCUUGUCAUUGGGCUUGCCUGGCAACGUUUUGGUAGCAAGGGCCUGCAGAGUGGCCUCUGUGAGCAGCCCAGCAUUGCCCCAUGUCAGAUCAGAGAUAGCUCCAGCUGCUCCAAAAGGUACCUAUUGCUGCCAGAGCUGAGACGUGAGCACUGCUGGGUGUGCUCUGGGGACAGCAGCCCAUGGAGAGGAGACCACAGUGUGGCAGAAGGGCUGGGGGAGCUGCUGCCUGUGGGGACCUGU